rnacentral:tRNA from 1 species
GGACCAUUAGAGCAAACGGCUCAUAACCGUUCGGUCACAGGUUCGAGUCCUGUAUGGUCCA